AAGAAUGAUGGCCUAGUAAUGAAGUAGUCAUCCGCCACAUGAAGAACAGAUUAGCAGAGAAAAUGUUAUGACUGAAUCAGAUGUGAGGACUGAGAUUUUUGCGGCGCAGAUAAAUCCUUUGUUGAUGAUGUUUUUGUGUGUAAUUUAAUUACAUAAAUAUUCGUCAAGUUUCGGAAGAAAACGAGUUAGAAUAGAGAUUUUACGCAAUCUUUACUCUUCACUUAAAGUGAAUAGUAACCCGAAUUUCCGGAGAGGCCAAUGAGUAGAGAUGGCUUCUGGCGCGUAUUAGACUCCGUUCAUAGCGAUCCAAUAGCUCGUUUUUGACGAUUCGACUAUCCUGGACCCAAUGGCACUAACGGAUUUGGGUUUUGAUACACGGUUUUCAAGAAAAAGGGAGUUUAUUGGAUUUGCAUAUAUAUAUGUAUACGUGGUUUUUAAAAAGUUAGAGAAGGGAUGGCUUUCAUCACAAUUCGGCGACCAAUUCAAAUGAAACAAAAUUGUGAGUUCGAUGUCUCGGUAGUGCUGAACGUGCUGGAAUGAUCUGUUCGAAAAUCCGAUGGAUGGAUCGCCGGAUAUCACGUGAUUAUCGAGGUGAGGUCAAAAUGGAAUUUUUGUAU
rnacentral:lncRNA from 1 species